ensembl:lncRNA
AUUUGGAGGGACGGACUGAGACUGAGAAUUGCCAAAUCACUAACAAAGCACACUCUGUCACCCUUCGGAGAGAGAGCGAGAUAUCAAUUCGUCCGACUGGUGAGUUCUGAACUCUGCAGACCUGAUGACCACUUUAAGACAGUUGAAAUCCAAAAUUCCGUUGCGUACUGCUGGCCUCCAUACCUAUCUGUCCUGUGUACCAAAAGGACCCGCAGCACCUCAGACGGGGAGAAGUAAGACAACAUGGGACAAGUCCAAGACAAACUGGAAGGGGUUGAAGGAUUAGAAGAAGCAUUGCCUGGAGCUGAAGGCCUGCCUACAGAGGCUGGCGGUGCGGUGGGAGGAAGAGGAGGCACGAGGGAGAAGGAGGUUUGCAGCACAAGACAAUAUUCAGGUAGAGCCAGCCUCCGGGGUUCGGACCAAAGCUCAGAGGAGGAGCCACCUGCACCUUCUAUUGAGCAAAAUGUACACUCCAGGAAACAUUGGGUGAGUCCUUUCAGUGCAUGCAAAUGGAGAGAGGGAGGAGACAACCAAGAAAGGGGAGGAGGAGAGGAGGGCGAAGUAAAGAAAGAGGGAGGCAGCACUUUUCCCUCUGUAACCCAGGAGUCGGACUGGAGCCAGAUGCCAAGGAGUAGGGCGAGGAGUGAGGAGCAGAGGCCCAGAAAGAACCGUCAGUUCAAUCAGUUCUAUCAAACCAAGAGCGGGGGAAUGAACGAGGAGGAGCCUAACACCGAGUCACAGAGAAAGAAGAUGGAAACAUCGUUAUUACAUGACGUGAACUGUGAUGGAGAAACUGUGGAAGAUCAUUGUGUAGAUGGAAGCUCUGAGUCCAAGAUCAGAAAAGGUGGGUUUUGCAAAGGAACUGAGAAUGUGGGUCAUAAAGCAGGGAAGAAGAGGUUGUUGCUGUUGGACCCCCAAGGUCAGAAUGAGACCCCAAGAGGAGAUGAGCAGCAUGAAGAACAUGGUAUCAAAGACAAUGAGCAGGAUUUCGCUCCCAUUGAUCAUGAAGAGGGGGAGACAUACCUAGCCAGAGCGUCGUAUUCAGGGGCCAGUCCGGCUCUGCCGCGCAGUGAGCCCGGCUCCAUCCUCGAGAAGCUGCUGAGUCGGAGCAGAAAGGAAGCGGCUCCGGGACUCUCCAAGAUCAAAGAAGUUGACUUAUUAGAAGAGAACAGCGUAGAGGCUCUCAACCAGACCAAUGUUUCAGAAGCCAUCAAGUUCAACAAUGCGG